rnacentral:rRNA from 1 species
GAUGAACGCUAGCUACAGGCUUAACACAUGCAAGUCGAGGGGCAGCAUGGUCUUAGCUUGCUAAGGCCGAUGGCGACCGGCGCACGGGUGAGUAACACGUAUCCAACCUGCCGUCUACUCUUGGACAGCCUUCUGAAAGGAAGAUUAAUACAAGAUGGCAUCAUGAGUUCACAUGUUCACAUGAUUAAAGGUAUUCCGGUAGACGAUGGGGAUGCGUUCCAUUAGGUAGUAGGCGGGGUAACGGCCCACCUAGUCUUCGAUGGAUAGGGGUUCUGAGAGGAAGGUCCCCCACAUUGGAACUGAGACACGGUCCAAAACUCCUACGGGAGGCAGCAGUGAGGAAUAUGGUCAAUGGGCGAGAGCCUGAACCAGCCAAAGUAGCGUGAAGGAUGACUGCCCUAUGGGUUGU